CGUAAAUGUAUGUACAUUGUACUCCGUUUUUCGCUGCUUGCGAGCAUCCUCAUUUCUCUCUACAGCAAAGCUUUUUGAUCACACAUACGGAGUUUUACUCUUUCUCAUCGAUCGAACACUUUUUUAGCACUCAGAACUUUUUUCCUCGGCUUUUGCACCGAAAAGCAAACCUUCACUUUUCCCUCCUAUCUGAGCAAUGGUCAGACCAGUCACGUACAGAAACGUGGCUAUUGAAUUCUAUGGAUUUGUUGGAUGGGUUGUCUCUUUUGCUGUUUACGUAAUGUACUGUAUCUGGAGCUUUGUGUCGGAUGACACUUUGAACUCUUUAGGCAUUACCUACUACCCGAGCAGAUAUUGGGCAGUGGCCAUCCCAGUUCAACUGCUCGUGACGACUGGCUCCAUUCUUGUUUUUUACACUUCUACAAACAUGAUCAAUGUUCCACCGCCUAAAUCGUUGGAUCUUAUCACUGACACCUAUGCCUCCUACGAAGAAGAACACAUCGUGCUGUCAGACGAGAUGAUUCGACCACUUGCUGACAUCCCCAUUGAUGUCGUAAACAAAAUUCUAUAUAAACAAGAAACUGGCCCCUCUUAUCAUUUGUUCAGUGACAUAGAAGACUAGCGCAAAUUGAUCCGUUAUAUACAGCGGGAAAAAAUGCCGCUGAAUUGUGUAUUGAUCUUGUGCGUUCUUGCUCUUACCUUUAUCCGCUAAUUUCUGAACUCUACGUACCGUUUUCUAGCUGGAGAAUUAUUCUGUAUAUGAAAGUCUCAUCGGCAUGUGCAUGUCCGUGUAGCUCUCGCUUGCUCAUGCGAGUAAGCAAGCAAAUCGCUCAUACAGAAUUUCCUAGUUACAUAAUUGGCCAUUUCAUGGAUUCUCGAGAAAAACAUCCUAUGCGCCGGUUGCUUUGGGAUG